GGAGGGACCUCGCCUGCAGGAGGCUUAGCAUUGGCCAUUGACUUCCCUUCUAGGAAUCCAUAUCAUUUGCUUUAACUCUUUGGUAAACCAGAGCAAAACCUCCCUCUGAAAGACUAGGAGAGAUGCAGUUCCAAUAACUUAAAGCAACAGUUCCCAAACUGAGGUCCUUGUCAGAAAUAUUAUAUAUUAACUGGGGUGUUUUUAAUUUCAAAAGUGUGGCUCAAGCACCAAAAGAGUGAGUAGGCUGAAGCCUGUUAGAGGUAGUUUGCCUCAGUGAGGGAACUCCUCCGUCAGUGUGAGGUAAACAUCAGUCUGAGAGAAGCCUUGUGUUUAAAGCUCCCGUGUGUGAAGGCUGCUACUUGUAAAGAACACAUCAUGCAACUUGAUGAAUCCAAGGCUGGAGUUAAAAUUGCUGGAAGAAACAUUAACAACCUUAGAUAUGCAGAUGAUACCACUCUGAUGGCUGAAAGCGAGGAGGAGCUGAGGAGCCUUAUUGAUAACCGAAACCCCGGCUUUUAAAUUAAUUUAAAAACGCAGCGGAGAGUUCCGUAGAUCACUCACCAAAGGAACGAAGCGGGACCGCAGCAGACUAUUAUUAAAAGACUUUUUUUCUUUCUUCAUUUUCCCCUUCCCUGAUCUAUGUAACAAAACCCUCCAAUAAAAAUAGCAUUUAUUUUAACAAUAA